GACGUAGGGCGCGAGCGUUGUCCGGAUUUAUUGGGCGUAAAGAGCUCGUAGGCGGCUUGUCGCGUCGACUGUGAAAUCCCGCGGCUCAACCGCGGGUCUGCAGUCGAUACGGGCAGGCUAGAGUUCGGUAGGGGAGACUGGAAUUCCUGGUGUAGCGGUGAAAUGCGCAGAUAUCGGGAAGAACACCCGUGGCGAAGGCGGCUCUCUGGGACGGUACUGACGCUGAGACGCGAAAGCGUGGGGAGCGAACAGG
rnacentral:rRNA from 1 species